CUCCCACCUCACACAGAGCUUGUGACCAGCGUGAAUGUGAACAAUGGAUAAAGGAAAGGAAAAGAUGACCCUCAGUGGAACAAUUUCAAGACGUAACUAAGAUUGUGAAUGCCUACAAGAAAAUGAACCUCAAGGUCUCAACAAGACUAGUUCAUGGGCUACUUAAAUAAGAAUAGAGAUGCACAAAUGAGAUGGCCACCAGCAGAACGUCAAACCAGUUUAAGUUCCUUUCAGAUCAAGCUACUGUUGUGAUCCUGAAGCACCUUCAAUUAUUCCAAAAGACUGAAGUAGGAAGCGAGAAGAGAGCGCAGCCUGGAUGGUGGGUGCCAUUGAUGAUGGAAGGAUGGCCUGGAUGGUUUAUUGUGGCAUAAAAGCAUAUUCUUUGCUAAUUGCAACUCCCGAUCUCAGGCACUGUUCACUGUAGGUAAACCAUUUUCUUGGCCAUGAGCCUCUGAUCUGAACUUUGGUGAAAGUGUCACAACAUCCCACAGACCAUGAUUCUUGUAGAAAAUCCACCCUUCUGGUCCCAAACAUUGAUGAAGCCUCGAUUUCUCUUGAUGAAGAUUCCACCUAAAACCUCCUAGUGGUGUUGUUCAGUUCUGAUGGAUGAGGACUGGGGCCUGGAAUUAUGUCACCAGAAGCCAGUCUUCAAG